AUGUAACAUCAGACUUACGAUCGAUCCCAGCCGCUUACGACCGCAUUUGACAUGAGGUUAAAUAAUUUGAGACCUGCGACUUGAAUUCACUGGGCAAGAAGAUACUGACGAAAUCUCAGAUCUGGCUGCAGUGCAACAAGUGUAAAUACACCACGCAUCAUGAUUCCUUCAUGAUGCAUCGUAUGAAAGAUCAUAACGAGGAAAAGGCAGCUGACGAGCACAUCUUCGAGAGCCAGCAGGAAAGUGAAAGACACAGUUAUAGCAAAGUGAAUGACUUGGAGAACAAGGAGAAUGAAACAGGUUGAGUAGCGUUAAAUCCAAGAGAAAUUGUUCAGAUGCAUUCUUGCUAUCUGUUACAAUUUUUAUAAUUAGUGACACUGUUAAUACGUUACAGAUUAUUUUGACAUUGUUAUCAAGGAUGAUAAAGCAAUCGGAGGUAACACUUUUGGAGUCGAUUCAGUCAGUGUUUUCACGUUGUCCCAAGAACAAAUGUAUGUUCUGCAGCCGAUUGACAUGGCUGAUAUUGAAAAUUUGAUUUGAGGAAGAUGACAAGAUUGGACUCUGAUCCUGAGCAGAAAAUGGAAAUGAAGAGCGAAAGUAGAAAACGGAUAACCU